AUAAAGCCUCCCUCCCAGUUUUUGAUGUUCUUGCUGAUUGCAUGAUAUUUGGCAUCAAGGUGACCUAAUCCCCAUCCUAUUCAACUGCAUAUGUAGAGAAGAGAGUCAGUAUUAAUUACAUGACAAGUUAGGAGAUUACUAUAUCAUUAGCUUGAUAUCAGCAGAAACAAAGGAAUGCUCCUAAACUCCUCGUAUACCACACUUUCAGGUUGAAAUCAGGGGUUCCUUCAAGGGUUAGAAGUAGUGGAUC